AAUGAACGUUGGCGGCAUGGAUUAGGCAUGCAAGUCGAGCGAGAAGAGUUUUGAAGCUUGCUUUAGAACUCGGACAGCGGCGAAAGGGAGAGUAACGCGUAGUUAUGUGCCCUAGAGUCCGGAAUAGCCACGGGAAACUGUGGGUAAUGCCGGAUAAUAUCCCCGGAUCAAAGGUGUGAUUCCGCCCUAGGCGCAGACUGCGUCCUACUAGCUAGUUGGUGGGGUAAUGGCCUACCAAGGCAACGAUGGGUAGCGGGUGUGAGAGCAUGACCCGUCUCACUGGGACUGAGACACUGCCCAGACACCUACGGGUGGCUGCAGUCGAGAAUCUUCGGCAAUGGGCGAAAGCCUGACCGAGCGAUGCCGCGUGCGGGAUGAAGGCCCUCGGGUUGUAAACCGCUGUCGUAGGGGAGGAAGGUUCCGUGAAGAGCGGAAUUUGACCUAUCCUAGGAGGAAGUACGGGCUAAGUUCGUGCCAGCAGCCGCAGUAA
rnacentral:rRNA from 1 species